rnacentral:lncRNA from 1 species
GAAUUUUCCUCAAAGCUUCAUUGUCUAAACUCUGAACCUCAUCAUAACCUCAGUUCUGCCUAGCUCCAUAACUAGUAGGUUUCACAAUUUGAUGUCCUCUUGCUGUGCUGACCCACUUGGAACUGGCCAUUCAGCAAGAUCCUAGAAUCUGGGGAUCAGAGACUACAACCCGGAAGGGACCAGGCUCAGAGCCCUGUGGGGUACUAGGCAGGAGGCUCUGACAUUCUGCCACCAACACACAGGAAGCAAACAGGUUUUUUUCUACUGGUGUUGGUGUACUUUGUGCUCAGAGAAUAGAAUAUCCCAGGGGAGUGUCAAACCAUGAGAAAAGGAAAGGUUACCAAGCAACGGCUUCAGGCAAAUCACCUCAGAUCUGCUCUCCAUUCCCCCAGGGUUGUGGGGGUCCGAAGCACAAGCAGAUGUCUGGAGGGAGCUAUUACUCACAUCCUCCCCUUCUUAAUUUCCCCUUCUUAAUUUCGCUCGGUGGCAGUAGCAGCAGUCACAGACCAAUCUCUAUCACUUCAGGAAAGAAGGGGGCAGAAACAGCCACCCUCCUCCUAACUUUGGACAGAGCUUACUCCAGAAGACAGUCUUGGAGUAGAACACCAUGGACCAAGUACUUGCCGAGCAUGCCCACUGCCCUCGAUUGUACAUGUGCAAAUACUUUCUUUGCCUAUUCAGAAAUUAGCAGAAACUGUUGAAUAAAGGGAUAAAGGAGGUGAGAAUACUGGUCCUUUAUCAGAGAAUGAAAUAAGCAAAAAGACAAAAUCAGAAAAGUAGAAAAGCAGAAAAUGACUGUGUUCCUUUGUUCUUGCCUCUUUUUUCCCCCCAAAAAGGGAGGAUGCACCACUCUCUCCAUUUUCUAAGAAAAGAAGUAAAAACUGAGCGGAUAACUCAUGUGCCUUCUAAGGAUAGUGCCAGCAAGAAUAGAACGCAGACCUCUUUCUCUGAAAUUUUGAUUUGCAUGAAUUCCUCAUCUUCACCUUGAGAAAGGUUCUCUUUCCCAUCUAAGCCUCAGAGUAAGAUACGUUUGGGCUCUGAUUUUUGCAUAGCAUCUGUUCCUAAGUGAGAAUGGCCACUGGAGUUUGGAAACCAGAAAGCAAGAGAAAUGGUGUCAAGGGACACAAAACUGUUUAAAAAGGGAAAAACCACCAAAUCUCUCCCUCAAUCUCUCUCUCUGCUCUCACACACACAGAUGCUCAAUAUUGGCAAUGUUAAUAUAUCUUCUGAAGAGACAGAAAUGAA